AAAUGAAUUAAGAGGCAACUCUUAACUGGCCAGCUAAAGAAAAGCCGAGAGGUUCAAAGUUAGCGGGCAGAAAGUCCUGCAAAGUAGCGCUUAACAUAGCGGGGCGGCAGGUUCGGCGGUAGCGACUACAACGACGAACCAA
rnacentral:ncRNA from 1 species